rnacentral:rRNA from 1 species
AACGAACGCCGGCGGCGUGGAUUAGGCAUGCAAGUCGAGCGAGAAAGGGGUAGCAAUAUCCUGAGUAAAGCGGCGAACUAGUGAGUAACAGGUGGGCAAUGUUCCCUGAAGUUGGGGAUAACUCCGAGAAAUCGGAGCUAAUACCGAAUGUGGCCCUCGGGAUCUCGGUCCGGAGGGUUAAAGACGUAAUUCGCUUUAGGAUCGGCCCGCCCCGGAUUAGCUAGUUGGUGAGGUAACGGCUCACCAAGGCAACGAUCCGUAGCUGGUCUGAGAGGAUGGUCAGCCACACUGGAACUGAGAUACGGUCCAGACUCCUACGGGGGCAGCAGUCUAGAGGCUUCGGCAAUGGGGGAAACCCUGACCGAGCGACGCCGCGUGUGGGAUUGAAGGUCGUUUUCGUUGUAAACCACUGGUGGGAGGGGGAAGAAUGCCCGCAUGGCGAAUGCGGGAGUGA